rnacentral:rRNA from 1 species
CCUACGGGUGGCAGCAGUGAGGAAUAUUGGUCAAUGGACGGGAGUCUGAACCAGCCAUGCCGCGUGAAGGAAGACGGCUCUAUGGAUUGUAAACUGCUUUUGUACGGGAGUAAACCUGAAUACGUGUAUUCCGCUGAGAGUACUGUACGAAUAAGGAUCGGCUAACUCCGUGCCAGCAGCCGCGGUAAUACGGAGGAUCCAAGCGUUAUCCGGAUUUAUUGGGUUUAAAGGGUGCGUAGGCGGGUUGAUAAGUCAGAGGUGAAAUGUGCGGGCUUAACCCGGGAACUGCCACUAAUACUGGUAGUCUAGAGUGUAGAAGGGGUAGGCGGAAUGUACGGUGUAGCGGUGAAAUGCUUAGAGAUC